rnacentral:rRNA from 1 species
UACGUAGGGGGCAAGCGUUGUCCGGAAUUAUUGGGCGUAAAGAGCGCGUAGGCGGUCCGAUAAGUCGGCUGUGAAAGUCAGGGGCUCAACCCUUGAAAGCCGGCCGAUACUGUCGGACUAGAGUCCGGAAGAGGCGAGUGGAAUUCCCGGUGUAGCGGUGAAAUGCGUAGAUAUCGAGAGGAACACCUGCGGCGAAGGCGGGUUGCUGGGCUGACACGUGACGCUGAUGCGCGAAAGCCAGGGGAGCGAACGGG